GAUGAACGCUGGCGGCGUGCCUAAUACAUGCAAGUCGAGCGAACAGACGAGGAGCUUGCUCCUUCGACGUUAGCGGCGGACGGGUGAGUAACACGUAGGUAACCUACCUAUAAGACUGGGAUAACUUCGGGAAACCGGAGCUAAUACCGGAUAAUAUUUCGAACCGCAUGGUUCGAUAGUGAAAGAUGGCUUUGCUAUCACUUAUAGAUGGACCUGCGCCGUAUUAGCUAGUUGGUAAGGUGACGGCUUACCAAGGCAACGAUACGUAGCCGACCUGAGAGGGUGAUCGGCCACACUGGAACUGAGACACGGUCCAGACUCCUACGGGAGGCAGCAGUAGGGAAUCUUCCGCAAUGGGCGAAAGCCUGACGGAGCAACGCCGCGUGAGUGAUGAAGGUCUUCGGAUCGUAAAACUCUGUUAUUAGGGAAGAACAAGCGUGUAAGUAACUGUGCACGUCUUGACGGUACCUAAUCAGAAAGCCACGGCUAACUACGUG
rnacentral:rRNA from 1 species